AUAGCCCAGAUACAGUCGAGUUACUAGCGGGCCUGUGGGCAUUUCCAUUAGUAAUGGAGCUAUCCGUGAACACUAACAAACCUUUCCUAGAAAAAUCAAAGUUGGCUGAACAAUCUGAGGGUAUAUGGUUGAGCUGCUCCUUCAGUUG